UGUGCAGUUCCUUUCCUCCCUUAGCAGGCCUGGCACAUUCUGCCUGUGUUGUGUGGUGACUUCACUCUGGUUGGGGGCCUGGCAGGAAGCCAACCACCUCUUCCUGGUUUUCCUGGGACUCUCCUGGUUUUAGCAUUGCAAGUCCCACAGCAAAAUGGGACAGCUGGUCACCCUACGUCCUGGGACGGAGGGCACUCACGGGGAAAGACAUGCAGUUUUUUGCUCCCUUAGGGAUGGGGUGGGCCGCUGCCACAGGCUCAGAAGUUUCAGAGGCAUCUGGGGAGUCUAGCUCUUCCAGGGCCCUCGCCUGGAUGUGCCUGUCUCUUGUGUCAGGGGUGCGGGUUUUCCCGACGGGGCUUCUGAUGUUGGCCUGACAGACCUGCCUUGGUGAACGUUCAGCCGUCUUUGAAGUUCAGCCACUCCUAUCAAAUCCUGGGUUUGCCCUUCGUCCACUGCCUGAGAUGGGACUCUGGGGCUCCUCCUUAGUUUUCACUCGGUUAAUCACCCCAGGCUUCUCAUCGCCCUGCAGGUCAUCAAAGCAAGAGGGUCACCCUUCUCCUUCCCCUUGUCCUUCGAGUUUUCCUUCCCGUACGUGCCACACGCCUGGGUCCCCUCGCCUGCCCGGAAAUUCCUCUCCAUCCGCUGGCCCAGCGAAGAGUUCUGACAGGAACAUUCUAGCUGCUGGGCUGUCUGCACACCACCAACCCCCAGGAUGGGCUCCUCAUUACCAGUGGGGCGGGUGAUAAGCAAUCCCGCACCAAGACCCUGUCUUAGCACCUGCUUUUUGGACCACUCGAGAAGCAACCGUCUCAGGUGGAAUACUUCAGGAAGCUUCCCCCGAGAGGGAGUGAGGUGUGCCAAAGGCUGACUGGAGACUAACACCCACGAAGGGAGCAGGGUGAAGCAGGGCUGGACAGGGUGUCCCUUCAGCCUGCAACGCCGAGCUGACAGUCUCUCCCAGCCCAUCGGGGAGCUGCAGAGCAGGGAUCGGCCUUUGAGGACCCGCACUCGGCCGGGUGGUCAGACCCUCACUGUGCCUGAGGCCUUGCAAUCCAGGUGGACCGAACGGGUCAAUCAACACCCAGAAUUGGUGCCCCAGGAAUGCGUGCAUACCAAGUAGCACACAUAGGGCGCCAGGUGCCUUUCCUCGGGCAAAACCGUGCUCCACACUGCGGCCGGCCUGGUGGGGGGUGUUUCGGCCUCUUGUGUGUCAGGAGACUGCUGGGUUCAGAAGCUGGUGUGCUUCCAGGGCGUUUGCCAGCUUGGCGUCUCUUAGCAUCGCUGUAAGCCCAGGCUGAUGGGAGAGGGCAGACCUGGGUAGGGAACAGCACAGGGCAAAGCAGAGUUGUCAGCAGCCACCCGUCCUGUAAGAGGCUCCUUGACGAUGCAGGUCCACAGGCGCACUCAGCUCUGCGUCCCUCAGGGCUGGUGGGGGCAUCUUCCAGGCAGUCCUGUAAACCACCUGAUCUGAAUCGAGGCCCUAUGGGGUCAGGAAAACGUGAAGGGG
rnacentral:lncRNA from 1 species